rnacentral:rRNA from 1 species
GAUGAACGCUGGCGGCGUGCUUAAUACAUGCAAGUCGAACGAAGUCAGUAGCAAUAUUGGCUGAGUGGCGAACGGGUGAGUAACGCGUUGGUGACCUGCCCCGAAGAGAGGGAUAACAGUCCGAAAGGAUUGCUAAUACCCCAUGUGGUCGUUUGGAUUAGAUGCCUUAUGACUAAACGGAUUUAUUCGCUUUGGGAGGGGCCUGCGUCCCAUCAGCUAGUUGGUAGGGUAAUGGCCUACCAAGGCUGCGACGGGUAGGGGGCCUGAGAGGGUGGCCCCCCACAUUGGCACUGACACACGGGCCAAACACCUACGGGUGGCUG